UGAGUAGAGUGGCGCACGGGUGAGUAACGCGUGGGUAAUCUACCCUUGGAUUUGGGAUAACUCUGCGAAAGUGGAGCUAAUACCGGAUAGUCUGGCUUUAAAUAAGAAGUCGGUAAAGGAUGCCUCUGCAUAUGCAUUCGUCCGAGGAUGAGCCCGCGUCUCAUUAGCUAGUUGGUAGGGUAAUGGCCUACCAAGGCAACGAUGAGUAGCUGGUCUGAGAGGAUGAUCAGCCACACUGGAACUGAAACACGGUCCAGACUCCUACGGGAGGCAGCAGUGGGGAAUAUUGCGCAAUGGGCGAAAGCCUGACGCAGCAACGCCGUGUGAGGGAUGAAGGCUUUCGGGUCGUAAACCUCUGUCGGAAGGGAAGAACGGGCAUUGGUCUAAUAGGCCUUUGUUUUGACGGUACCUUUAGAGGAAGCACCGGCUAACUCCGUGCCAGCAGCCGCGGUAAUACGGAGGGUGCAAGCGUUAUUCGGAAUUACUGGGCGUAAAGCGCACGUAGGCGGCCUUGUAAGUCAGGGGUGAAAUCCCACGGCUCAACCGUGGAACUGCCUUUGAAACUGCAGGGCUUGAAUCCUGGAGAGGGUGGCGGAAUUCCUGGUGUAGGAGUGAAAUCCGUAGAUAUCAGGAGGAACACCGGUGGCGAAGGCGGCCACCUGGACAGGUAUUGACGCUGAGGUGCGAAAGUGUGGGGAGCAAACAGGAUUAGAUACCCUGGUAGUCCACACCGUAAACGAUGGAUACUAGGUGUCGGGGACUUGAUCUUCGGUGCCGUAGCUAACGCGUUAAGUAUCCCGCCUGGGGAGUACGGUCGCAAGGCUGAAACUCAAAGAAAUUGACGGGGGCCCGCACAAGCGGUGGAGUAUGUGGUUUAAUUCGAUGCAACGCGAAGAACCUUACCUAGGCUUGACAUCCUGGGAAUCCUGCAGAGAUGCGGGAGUGC
rnacentral:rRNA from 1 species